CAACUGCAAUUGGUGGAUCACUCGGCUCGUGUGUCGAUGAAGAGUGCAGCAAACUGUGUGAACUGAUUGUGAAUCGCAGACUGCUUCGAACAUCGAUUUCUUGAACGCAACUGGCGGUCGUGGGCUUGCCCAUGGCCACGUUUGACUGAGAGUCGGCU
rnacentral:rRNA from 1 species